AUCGUUUACAGGAUUUCGUUUUUUUCUUCACCAUCGUCCUGGACAAGCGAUGCAUGUAAUUUGUAUUUUACAACUGCAUCGAGAAUAUUUUUUGUAGGUAUUUUUGAGGAAAGGAUUUUGAUUUUAAAGCCGAUUACGCGGAGCAGCUUGAGGCUGAUUGUAAAAUUUUUGAGAAUUAAUUACAUCGAUUAAAGCCUAUUUUGUCUGUCGGCUUUACACAGUGUAAAUAUUCGUGUCGUAAAUCCCACCGAAUGAAGAAACACGUUUCUAGCUUUGAAGUAGCCAAGUUCCAUGGCCGAUGCUCAUGAAUAUAAAAUUGUGCCGCCCGCGCCCCUGUCUACAACCCCUAUAACAUCCGUAAGAGGUUAGAAAAGAAAAAUGUUCGGGGUCACAAGUGAUCCCGAAUGACCCUAUCACGGGAGCCGUGGUGACGUAAGACCGCUGUCAAGCUGUUAAUGCGAACGAGCGACGGUGUCGCCAUCUACGAGACGGCAAGUUUCCACGACAGUUAUUAAUAGGCACGGUGGAGAAUAUUUAGGCAUACGCAAGGAAUGCAAGCCCGAACUAAGCGGACGUCGGACGUUUCAGAACCAUCCAGGCACAUCCGGUCCAUCGCUCUUCGCAUGUUGCAAUCCUCAUGAUUCGUGGAUCGCUUACGCUCUCGCGAUACCGCAGGAAGUCGCUGCAAUGGAUCACCGGAAAUGUCCACGAGGCUUGAUUCUUAUUGGAUUCCUGAUUACCAGUCUGGACCCUGUGCUCGGCUCAUCUUCUUUACUACCACCCUCUACACCCCACGUCCUCAUGUAGAUGUCAUUCCGGUGCAACGGUCCAGUCCAAACAAUCGUACAUCCUCAGCAUCACCGUCCGUGCUAUUUAAGCGUUCUAGAAAAUUAGGUACUCUCCAUCAAUUUUCACCUACGACCGAGACUCCUCGGGCAGCGACGCUUCACGUCCACGUAUCCAUUUUACGUAUGGGAAAAUAGAGUGGCGGGUUUGCGUUUUCACUAGGAGACCUCGCCGUUCACCAAUAGAGACCAGAUAGCCUAGUGACAUUUUCCUGGCAGGAUGGACGCCCAGCGUCGGCCGGAUAAGCUUUGACAGAGUGACCCUGUUAUCGAGCGAGUAUGCUGGGGGUUAGGACAACCAGACACUGGGAUGUGUACCUGUACGGCUGGCGUCGCGACGCCCUGGAACUCGCCACGCCCGAAUACCAUCACUCGGGCUAAUUAUAGAAAUUUUUUGGAAAUUUCAUAAUAAACAGGGGAGCAGGUGGUACCUGCAAAUGGACUGUCUUACUGGCGUGGGGGCACUAUCGCAAAGUGGAAUUCGUCGUUUAUGAAGAGUACGGGCCAAAUCCGUUUCUGCGAGACGUGACGUAUUUCGCCGACUGCUACGUCACGGAUGCCGUGGAUCCGAUGAAGGAUAAAAAGAGGGAAGUCGCGGAAGAGAAGAGAUAAAAAGAUUGUGCCUGAGAAGAGGAAGGAAGAAGGAAGGCUAAACCGGAAGUAAGACCCGAGUGCAAAAAUUUCUACGAGGAUGAAAUAAGUUGAAGCUAAAUUCGUUAUAAUUAAACGAGACGGAUAAAACAGUGUGGUUCGCUGAGUUUCCGAUGCGCCGUCGUCGUCCGUCGUCGAAAUGCCUCUUCAGAAAUACAGCGGCGUCCCGUAGCUACCGAAGCUCCGGCUUUAUGCAACCGCAGGAUCCUACGGAGUGAAUCGUGAGAACGUUUCAAGUGGGACCAUAGCCGGGAUUUCCGUUGGCUUGUUAAAACAUUAUGAUAAAUGGUUAAGUUUCAUCUAAAAUUUAAAGCGGUCGCCACUCUCGAGUAAUUCCUUCGCUCCCACUGGCAUCUUUACUCGUUAACCUCUUUGAAGGCUUCGCUACUUUUCCUGCCAGCGCCAGAUUCUUCUUGCUGCUCACUCAUUGCUGCACCGGAUGCAUAAUUU